CAGCAGGUCUGAUGAACACAAUCAGAAUCAUUAUCCAGAUGAGACGGAUGCUGAACACAACACAUAUGCUUCUCUGCUCCAUGGUGAAGUUUCUCUUUAUGAUUCACUCAGAGGCCCUGAAGACCCAGAAAAUGAUCCAGAGUAUGCCAACAUAGGUUCUGAAGAACAGUGAAGAUUAUCUGUCUGAUUUUCUACUCUGGAAUUCCAAGAGCGCCACCUGGAUUUAGACUUCUUUGAAUCAAGAGAAACUCCAGAGGAACUCGGAUUCUGACUCUUUCUCCGGCUGCUGAACAAGACAAACAUAAAUGUACAAAACAUGUUGGUAUUUGAGAUUAUUUCUAAAUUGUAUUCAAGUCCACACAAGGAUUUGGGUUAUUACUAUUUUUUUUUUCUGGACAGACACAACAACACUUAAAAAUUGAAAAUCUGAAAACAUAACAUUCUUUCUCCAGAAAGUUACACAAAUGUUCAAUUCAUUGAUCUGAAUGCAGCCUUAUGUUUACAUUUAUUGGGUUUGUUAGUGUUCAUCGCGUAAUAAAUAUUCACUUUUAAACCAUUAAAAUAUUUUCUUAUAUUUUGACAAGUUAAAUGUAAAUACUUUCUAACACGUUCACGCAGCUCUAUAGCAUCUCUGUGUUGCAUUUUGGGAUCAGUUUUUAGUAACAGUAUUUAAUACACAAGCUGCAGCCCAAUCAACACAAAACAUCAUAUUUAAACUUAACAUACUUCUGGUAAAUGUAUACAGAUUUUUAAAAUAAAUGUCUUAAAAAGGUGCAGCUGUUACAUAUGUGUUGUUGGAAGUUAAAACUUGGUGAUGCAUGUUUUCCACUUGAAAUAGCAUGGUAAAUGAGAAUAUCAUUCACUGUGAUGUAAAGAGUCACAUGUUCUCAGUGCAGAAACAUUUUCUAUUCUUGUAUUUUAUGGUCACUUCCUGGUUGAAGUGUUAACAUCACAUCAUUCACACCAAAUGAAGAAGAACAUAUUUAAAAACUGCUGCAGCAUGAGGUCAUAAUAAUUGUUAAUAUCCAUAGUUUUAGUCUCUCAUCUUAUUAAGAAUUCACCAUAAAACAACAUUUUAACUGAAAUGUGAAAAAUAAUUAAAAACCUUAAAUUUCAGAAUAUUUUGGAUUUUUAUCUAACACAAGUUUCAAUGUCAGAAAAACAUUUAAAUCCUUUCUUAAUUGUGAAUUUGGUCUGUCUGUUUUUUGUUCACACUUAGCUCAGACAAACUUCAGCUUUGACCACAGCAUUUCUUUCUCAUUAUUAUUUUUUUUCUGUUUUAGUUUGUUUAAAUAUCAAAGUGUUUUUUAUUGUGUGACUGCAAAUAAAUUCACCAGUCCCUGGAAACUGCUGUGGGUGAAGCCUGGUCAGCAUCUAAGAGGUCUCACCUGGACUAAUUUGACCUUACUGGACUCACCCACUGUACAGAAAUAAAAGUGUGAAUUCACUUUAGAACAUCUUUUGUUUUCAUUCGUUUUAUUUUUUUUACCACUUUCUUAAAAUGUAUUAAAUGAUGAGUUACCUUCUUAAGUUAAUGUUAAGUAAGAAGAACUGAUUUAGUCUUUUAUGUAUAUAUGUUUCCCUUUUGCAUCUGUCUGGAGGUCAUUCAUCACUUUUAGUUAAAGUUUAUUGUAUGUUGAAGAUUUUUUAUGGGCUUUUUUUUACAUGUAAAAGAAUGUCUCAUAAGUAGUCUGAUGCGUUUAGAGAAUUCUCCAUCUAUAUAACAUUUUACCUGGGGGGCCCAAACUUGCAAUCCCUACUGGGCAUCAACAAGGAUAAAGAUGUAACAGAAUGACUAAAAACUACAAGAAAAUGUGGAAGAAAAAAUAUAUACAUAUAUAUUUAUAUAUGUAUAUAUUGUUAAAGUAAUCUUUCUGCACAACUACAAAUUUACACUCACUAGAUUUCUGUAUUAGGUACACCUUAUAUUAUCAGCUUUGACCCCUUUUGCCUUCAGAACUGCCUAAAUGCUUGGUGGCAUAGAUUCAACAAGGUACUGGAAACAUUCCUCAGAGAGUUUGAUCCAUAUUUACAUUAUAGCAUCACACAGUUGCUGCAGAUUUUUCAGCUACACAUCCAUGAUAAAAAUCUCACAUUCCACCAAAUCCCAAAGUUGCACUGUU